rnacentral:lncRNA from 1 species
CGCUGAAAUAGUUAAAUGUUUCCAAAAUAUUUUUAAAAUAAAUGGGCAGAAAGUACUUGUGCUACUCCUACUUUCCCCCAAACAAUAUCUGGCCAGAAUGAGAUCAAUCAGACAUUGGAUACUUUCAUUCCGGGUGUCACCCAGGGCACUCUGCACUCCCACCCGGCGGACGACUGCUCGCGCCCCCGACCAGUGAUAACUGUGACGAGAUGAGGAGACCAAUUUCUGAAAGUCGACUUCCAUGGUCCAGUGUGUGUUAAAAUCCCCUCAUAAACAGUGUAAAUCAGAGCCCUACAGUACUGAAUUAGGCCGGGCAACAGGUACAGUAGGAGAGAAGACAGAGAAAGAGAAACGAGGGUAGAAGGAGAAGAAAAGGAGGUGAAGGAGGAAGAGAAAGGAGCGUAGUAGAGGACCCGAGUGUUCUAGCCUGGAAGACCCUGGAUGCACGGUUCGUUAGGACUACCAGUGAUGUCGCCUUAAUCGCAGGGACUCUGAUGCAAUGUGGCAGGACGGGAGAAACAUCCUCUACUUAUCUAUAAGCCCAGUGGAAUCAUGAGAAAACCCCAGACAAACCGAUACACCACCCUGCCUCCACAUCCUGCCAAGGUCGUGGAAAACCAAAGAGACCGAGAAACUGGCACCAGGCAGAGGACACUGGAGAAACAAGAUGACUAACUGUACUGUGACAUUCUGGUUUGGGUCUUAGAAUUUUAAAAAAGUGAAAGAUAUUGGAGCUAAAAACCAUAAAAUAUAAAUGACGGUUGCAGUCUGUUUCAUAGUAACAGAUAGCCAUUGGUCUUUGAGUAUUGACAAACGUAUCCUGGCCAUGUAGUCAAUAAACAUCAAGGGAAACUGGGAAUAUAUGGGCGCACUCUGUGUAUCUUUGCAACUUUUAAGCAAGUCCAAAUUUAUUCAAAAAUCAAAAUGUAUCAAAAAUUGCCACUGUCAGCUGAGUGCGGUGGUGGGUGCCUGUAAUCCCAGCCCUCUGGCAGGCUGAGGCAGGAGAACUGCAAUUUUGACCCAGUCUGGGCAACUUAGUGACUUAGUCUCAAAACAAAAAAAGAGUUGGCUGUAGCUCAGUGAGAGAGCUUAGGUUCAUUCCCUGGGACAAAAAGCAAAAACAAAAGCAAAAAACAAAAGAAGAAAGAAAGAAAAAGCAACUGUCAACAGUUUAG